UGCAGAGCAAUUUGGAGAAUCACAAAUGGAAUGCUACCGAGAACCGAUUUGUGUGCUGCUUUCGACCCAACAAGGGUUGCCCGAUUCAAAGUAAAACCUGUGUCAGGAGAGGCGGACGUCCCUGAUCUGUGGCGGUGGAUCCGCUGGCUGCCGGUGUGAGCUGUGGUAGCUUGGCACCGCUCUACCUCGUGUCUUUAUGUCAGUACUCGUCUACCUUGUAGCCUUCCCGUUCAAAUUUUAGAUCCCGGUCAAAACAGUCUCUGUCCUUUCCUGACGACUGUUGUUGCUGCAGCUCUCUCUCAUUCCUUGAGGCGGGUGGGGGGGAACAUUAAAUGGCCUGCUCGCAUCGAAACAGAGGGUGGU
rnacentral:lncRNA from 1 species